AGAGUUUGAUCCUGGCUCAAAAUCAACGCUGGCGGCGUGCCUCAGACAUGCAAGUCGAACGAUUAACCCUCCCUUCGGGGAGUGCAUAAGGUGGCGCAGGGGUGAUUAACACGUAAGUAAUCUCCCCUCGGGGGGGGAAUAACGUCCGGAAACGGACUCUAAUACCGCAUAAUGCAGCGGCACCGCAAGGUGACAGUUGUUAAAUAUUUAUUGCCUGGGGAGGAGCUUGCGGCAAAUUAUCUAGUUGGUAAGGUAACGGCUUACCAAGGCUACUAUCUGUAUCCGGUCUAAGAGGACGGUCGGACACACUGACACUGAAUAACGGGUCACACUCCUACGGGAGGCAGCAGUCGGUAUUUUUGGGCGGUGGGGAAAACCCUGACCCACCCCCGCCGCGUGAAGGAUGAAUUAUUUCGGUAUGUAAACUUCGAAAGAAUAGGAAUAAUUAAUGACGGUACUAUUUAUACGGUCCGGCUAACUACGUGCCAGCAGCCGCGGUAAUACGUAGGGACCAAUCGUUGUUCUUAUUUACUGGGCGUAGAGGGCGCGUAGGCGGCGCGGUAAGUCACUUGUGAAAUCUCUGAUCUUAACUCAAAACGGCCAAGUGAUACUGCAGUGCUAGAGUGUGGAAGGGGCAAUCUGAAUUCUUGGUGUAGCGGUGAAAUGCGUAGAUAUCAAGAGGAACACCUGAGGUGAAGACUGGUGUGCUGGGCUCACACUGACGCUGAGGCGCGAAGCGAGGGGAGCAAACGGGAUUAGAUACCGCCGGGUAGUCCCUGCCCCUAAA
rnacentral:rRNA from 1 species